UGGGGAAUUUUGGACAAUGGACGCAAGUCUGAUCCAGCCAUGCCGCGUGCGGGAAGAAGGCCUUCGGGUUGUAAACCGCUUUUGUCAGGGAAGAAACGAGUUUCUCUAAUACAGAGACUUAAUGACGGUACCUGAAGAAUAAGCACCGGCUAACUACGUGCCAGCAGCCGCGGUAAUACGUAGGGUGCAAGCGUUAAUCGGAAUUACUGGGCGUAAAGCGUGCGCAGGCGGUUAUAUAAGACAGAUGUGAAAUCCCCGGGCUCAACCUGGGACCUGCAUUUGUGACUGUAUAGCUAGAGUACGGUAGAGGGGGAUGGAAUUCCGCGUGUAGCAGUGAAAUGCGUAGAUAUGCGGAGGAACACCGAUGGCGGAGGCAAUCCCCUGGGCCUGUACUGACGCUCAUGCACGAGAGCGUGGGGAGCAAACA
rnacentral:rRNA from 1 species